rnacentral:rRNA from 1 species
AGCGGGAAGAGCUCAAAUUUAUAAUCUGGCACCUUCGGUGUCCGAGUUGUAAUCUCUAGAAGUGUUUUCCGCGUUGGACCGCACACAAGUCUGUUGGAAUACAGCGGCAUAGUGGUGAAACCCCCGUAUAUGGUGCGGACGCCCAGCGCUUUGUGAUACACUUUCAAUGAGUCGAGUUGUUUGGGAAUGCAGCUCAAAUUGGGUGGUAAAUUCCAUCUAAAGCUAAAUAUUGGCGAGAGACCGAUAGCGAACAAGUACCGUGAGGGAAAGAUGAAAAGCACUUUGGAAAGAGAGUUAACAGUACGUGAAAUUGUUGGAAGGGAAACGCUUGAAGUCAGACUUGCUUGCCGGAGCUUGCUUCGGUUUGCAGGCCAGCAUCAGUUUUCCGGGGUGGAUAAUGACGGUUUGAAGGUAGCAGUCUCGGCUGUGUUAUAGCUUUCCGUUGGAUACAUCCUGGGGGACUGAGGAACGCAGCGUGCUUUUUGCGAAAGACUCGUCUUUUUCACGCUUAGGAUGCUGGUGGAAUGGCUUUAAACGACCCGUCUUG